rnacentral:rRNA from 1 species
GACGAACGCUGGCGGCGUGCCUAAUACGUGCAAGUAGAACGCUGAAGGAGGAGCUUGCUUCUCUGGAUGAGUUGCGAACGGGUGAGUAACGCGUAGGUAACCUGCCUGGUAGCGGGGGAUAACUAUUGGAAACGAUAGCUAAUACCGCAUAAUAGUAGAUGUUGCAUGACAUUUGCUUAAAAGGUGCAAUUGCAUCACUACCAGAUGGACCUGCGUUGUAUUAGCUAGUUGGUGGGGUAACGGCUCACCAAGGCGACGAUACAUAGCCGACCUGAGAGGGGGAUCGGCCACACUGGGACUGAGACACGGCCCAGACUCCUACGGGAGGCAGCAGUAGGGAAUCUUCGGCAAUGGACGGAAGUCUGACCGAGCAACGCCGCGUGAGUGAAGAAGGGUUUCGGAUCGUAAAGCUCUGUUGUAAGAGAAGAACGAGUGUGAGAGUGGAAAGUUCACACUGUGACGGUAUCUUACCAGAAAGGGACGGCUAACUACGUG